GAUGAACGCUAGCUACAGGCUUAACACAUGCAAGUCGAGGGGCAGCAUGGUCUUAGCUUGCUAAGGCCGAUGGCGACCGGCGCACGGGUGAGUAACGCGUAUCCAACCUGCCUUACACUCUUGGACAGCCUUCUGAAAGGGAGAUUAAUACAAGAUGUUAUCAUGAGUAAGCAUUUUCGCAUGAUUAAAGGUUUACCGGUGUAAGAUGGGGAUGCGUUCCAUUAGAUAGUAGGCGGGGUAACGGCCCACCUAGUCUUCGAUGGAUAGGGGUUCUGAGAGGAAGGUCCCCCACAUUGGAACUGAGACACGGUCCAAACUCCUACGGGAGGCAGCAGUGAGGAAUAUUGGUCAAUGGACGAGAGUCUGAACCAGCCAAGUAGCGUGAAGGAUGAAGGUUCUAUGGAUUGUAAACUUCUUUUAUACGGGAAUAAACGGAUCCACGUGUGGAUUUUUGCAUGUACCGUAUGAAUAAGGAUCGGCUAACUCCGUGCCAGCAGCCGCGGUAAUACGGAGGAUCCGAGCGUUAUCCGGAUUUAUUGGGUUUAAAGGGAGCGUAGAUGGGUUGUUAAGUCAGUUGUGAAAGUUUGCGGCUCAACCGUAAAAUUGCAAUUGAUACUGGCAGUCUUGAGUACAGUUGAGGUAGGCGGAAUUCGUGGUGUAGCGGUGAAAUGCUUAGAUAUCACGAAGAACUCCGAUCGCGAAGGCAGCUUACUAACCUGUAACUGACAUUGAUGCUCGAAAGUGUGGGUAUCAAACAGGAUUAGAUACCCUGGUAGUCCACACGGUAAACGAUGAAUACUCGCUGUAGGCGAUAUACAGUCUGCGGCCAAGCGAAAGCAUUAAGUAUUCCACCUGGGGAGUACGCCGGCAACGGUGAAACUCAAAGGAAUUGACGGGGGCCCGCACAAGCGGAGGAACAUGUGGUUUAAUUCGAUGAUACGCGAGGAACCUUACCCGGGCUUAAAUUGCAACCGAAUAUGGCGGAAACGCUAUAGCUAGCAAUAGCGGUUGUGAAGGUGCUGCAUGGUUGUCGUCAGCUCGUGCCGUGAGGUGUCGGCUUAAGUGCCAUAACGAGCGCAACCCUUGCCGAUAGUUACUAACAGGUUAUGCUGAGGACUCUGUCGGGACUGCCAUCGUAAGAUGUGAGGAAGGUGGGGAUGACGUCAAAUCAGCACGGCCCUUACGUCCGGGGCUACACACGUGUUACAAUGGGGGGUACAGAGGGCUGCUACCACGCAAGUGGAUGCCAAUCCCAAAAACCUCUCUCAGUUCGGAUUGAAGUCUGCAACCCGACUUCAUGAAGCUGGAUUCGCUAGUAAUCGCGCAUCAGCCACGGCGCGGUGAAUACGUUCCCGGGCCU
rnacentral:rRNA from 1 species